rnacentral:rRNA from 1 species
GAUGAACGCUGACAGAAUGCUUAACACAUGCAAGUCUUUCGCGAAGCUGUUCUUGCACAGCCUAGCCAAGGCGGACGGGUGUGUAACGCGUAAGGAACUUGCCCUGCAGUCAUGGAUAACAGACGGAAACGACUGAUAAGACCUGGUGAAGUCAGGCGGACACAUUUCUAGCCUGAUGAAAAGGGAUGCUGCAGUACAGCCUGGCGUCCUAUUGGCUUGUUGGUGGGGUAUCGGCCCACCAAGGCGAUGAUAGCUAGCCGGCCUGAGGGGGUGAAGGGCAAAAGGGGGACGGAGUUGCGGCCUUUACUCCUCCGGAAGGCGGCGGUGGGGAGUAUGGGAAAAGGGGGCAACCCUGAUCCAGCAAUUCUGUGUGCACGAUGAAGGUUUUCGGAUUGUAAAGUGCUUUCAGCAGGGAAGAAAAAAAUGACGGUACCUGCAGAAGAAGCGACGGCUAAAUACGUG